rnacentral:rRNA from 1 species
UGGGGAAUAUUGGACAAUGGGGGCAACCCUGAUCCAGCAAUGCCGCGUGUGUGAAGAAGGCCUUCGGGUUGUAAAGCACUUUUGUCCGGAACGAAACGUGGUGCGUGAAUAACGCAUCAAACUGACGGUACCGGAAGAAUCAGCACCGGCUAACUUCGUGCCAGCAGCCGCGGUAAUACGAAGGGUGCAAGCGUUACUCGGAAUUACUGGGCGUAAAGGGUGCGUAGGUGGUUUGUUAAGUCUGCCGUGAAAUCCCCGGGCUCAACCUGGGAAUGGCGGUGGAUACUGGCAAGCUGGAGUGCGGUAGAGGGUAGUGGAAUUCCCGGUGUAGCAGUGAAAUGCGUAGAGAUCGGGAGGAACACCAGUGGCGAAGGCGGCUACCUGGACCAGCACUGACACU